rnacentral:rRNA from 1 species
AUGAGCAUCUCGGUGAACGGUCAAUCGUGUGUGCCGCCGGGGUUCCGUUUCCACCCAACGGAGGAAGAGCUCCUCAACUAUUACCUCCGCAAGAAGGUCGCCUCCGAGGAGAUCGACCUCGACGUGAUCCGCGACGUUGAUCUCAACAAGCUCGAGCCAUGGGAUAUCCAAGAGAAAUGUAAGAUCGGCUCGGGUCCUCAGAACGACUGGUACUUCUUCAGCCACAAGGACAAGAAGUACCCAACGGGAACGCGGACGAACCGGGCGACGGCGGCCGGGUUCUGGAAGGCCACCGGCCGCGACAAGGCUAUUUACAACGCCGUCAAACGCAUCGGCAUGCGCAAGACGCUCGUCUUCUACAAGGGCCGUGCUCCCCAUGGCCAGAAGUCCGACUGGAUCAUGCACGAGUACCGCCUCGACGACCCUUCUUCCACCACGGACGCCGCCCCCACCGCCACCAUGCCUUUGUCUUUGGAUGCCGCCGUGCGUCAUGCUCAGGUUGUCAGUGCCGCCACAUCGUCGGACGCCGGCCAGGAGGACGGCUGGGUGGUGUGCAGAGUGUUCAAGAAGAAGCACCACCACAAGGAUGCGGGGGCCGGAAGUGGCAAGCGCGGCGGCGGGGGAAGAGACGAUGGGGGCAAGGCGGCACGCUCCUCCUCGCCGCUCUACUCCAGCGACGAUGCGCUUGACCAGAUCCUGCACUACAUGGGCCGCUCGUGCAAGCAGGAGCACGAGCUUUCCUCGCCGCGCCCGAGAACGGCCGCGUCGCGGUAUCUGCGGCCCCUCGAGACGGUUCUCGGCGGCCACGGUUUCAUGAAGCUGCCACCGCUGGAGAGCCCCUCGGCGGCGGCCACGGCGCGGACGUCGACUACGACGCCGCUCGCGGCGAGCGGAGAUGGAAAUGUCGAGCGCGAGCUGGCGCACGCCGAGGACCUGCACCAACCCCACCGCGACGGCGGGAUCACGGACUGGGCCAUGAUGGACCGGCUAGUCGCGUCCCACCUCAAUGGCCAGCACGACGCGUCCACAGACCAGCUCUGCUUCGACGGCACCGCCGGCCAUGCAGGCGGCAACGACGCCCUCGACGACACGGCCGUCAACGGGCUUGCCUUCUACUCCGCCGCGGCCACAAGGCUUCUCGGAGGGGCCGCCGCCGGUAGCAGCGACGACGACCUGUGGAGCUUCGCCCGAUCUGCGGCGUCGUCGGAGCGGCUGAGCCAUGUGUCACCGUAA